GUUAUAAUUCUAGCCACCCGUUUAACCAAUAAUUCUACUAACAAUUAAAAUAAAUCAUUUAAUCAUGGAAGUAUAGGCGAUAGAA
rnacentral:rRNA from 1 species